CGAAUGGGGAAACCCCGCCAGGCCCCUUGUGGUGACCUGGUGACUCCCGCCUGAAUAUAUAGGGCGGGUAGAGGGAACGUGGGGAAGUGAAACAUCUCAGUACCCACAGGAAGAGAAAACAACAUGUGAUUCCGUGAGUAGUGGCGAGCGAAAGCGGAGGAGGCUAAACCGUGUGUGUGUUCAAGCCGGCAGGUGUUGCAUGUGCGGGGUUGUGGGGGCCUUGUGGUUCUGCUGCCGCAGGAUUGGCCAGUGAGAAAUGUUGCGUGAAGGUGAAGCGUCUGGGAAGGCGUACCGGAGUGGGUGAGAGUCCUGUAACUGUAAGCGUGGCACUGGUGUGGGGUUGCCCCGAGUAGCGUGGGACUCGUGGAAUUUCGCGUGAAUCUGGCGGGACCACCCGUCAAGCCUAAAUACUCCUUGGUGACCGAUAGUGGAUGAGUACCGUGAGGGAAGGGUGAAAAGUACCCCGGGAGGGGAGUGAAAUAGUACCUGAAACC
rnacentral:rRNA from 11 species